rnacentral:rRNA from 1 species
UCGACCUGAGCUCAGGCAAGAUUACCCGCUGAACUUAAGCAUAUCAAUAAGCGGAGGAAAAGAAACUAACAAGGAUUCCCCUAGUAACGGCGAGCGAACCGGGAAUAGCCCAACUUGGAAAUCUCCCUCGGAGAAUUGUAGUCUAUAGAAGCGCCCUCUGCAGCGGCCGGGUCCCAAGUCCCCUGGAAGGGGGCGUCGUAGAGGGUGAGAACCCCGUCGGACCUUGGUGCAGCUGCCUCACGAGGUGCUUUCGAAGAGUCGGGUUGUUUGGGAAUGCAGCCCAAAGCUGGUGGUAAAUCCCAUCUAAGGCUAAAUACUGGCGAGAGACCGAUAGCGAACAAGUACCGCGAGGGAAAGAUGAAAAGAACUUUGAAAAGAGAGUUAAAAAGUGCUUGAAAUUGUUGAGGGGGAAGCGAUUGGCAGCUGCGUGUGCACCCAGGCUUACGCCGUUCUAACGAGCGGCUGCAUGCGCUGGGUGUUGGUCAGCAUGGGUUGGCUUGGCAGGAUAAACGCGGGGGUUGUUACUCCGUCUAUGCUGCCGGGCCGACCGAGGCGUGAAGGCCGCUCUUGUCCUUCGGGAUCUGCGGCCUCGAGAUGCUGGCGGAAGGCUUUCAAUCGGCCCGUCUUGAAACACGGACCAAGGAGUCUAACAUGUAUGCGAGCUGGUGGGUGGCAAACCCAUGAGGCGCAAGUAACCUGACUUUGGUGGGAUGGCCGCAAGGCCUGCACCAUCGACCGACCGUGAUCUUCUGUGAAAGGUUCGAGUACGAGCAUACCUGUUGGGACCCGAAAGAUGGUGAACUAUGCCUGAGCAGGGCGAAGCCGGAGGAAACUCCGGUGGAGGCUCGUAGAUGUGCUGACGUGCAAAUCGCUUUUCGGACUUGGGUAUAGGGGCGAAAGACUAAUCGAACCAUCUAGUAGCUGGUUCCCUCCGAAGUUUCCCCCAGGAUAGCUGGAGCUUGUGUGUCAGUUUUAUCGGGUAAAGCUAAUGAUUAGAGGUUCGGGGGAUGAAACAUCUUCCACCUAUUCUCAAACUUUAAAUAGGUAAGACGUGUGAGUUGCUUAACUGAACUCACGCAUUCAAUGAGAGCUCCAAGUGGGCCAUUUUUGGUAAGCAGAACUGGCGAUGCGGGAUGAACCGAUAGUUGGGUUAAGGUGCCGGACUACGCGCUAACCUAGAUCCCACAAAGGGUGUUGAUUGAUACAGACAGCAGGACGGUGGUCAUGGAAGUCGAAAUCCGCUAAGGAGUGUGUAACAACUCACCUGCCGAAUCAAUUAGCCCCGAAAAUGGAUGGCGCUGAAGCGCGUGACCUAUACCCGGCCAUGGGGGCAAGUGCGAGGCUCCCAUGAGUAGGAGGGCGUGGGUGUCGCUGCGCAGCCUGGGGCGUGAGCCCGGGUGAAGCGGCAGCUAGUGCAGAUCUUGGUGGUAGUAGCAAAUAUUCAAAUGAGAACUUUGAAGACUGAAGGGGAGAAA